AGCUCCAAUAGCGUAUAUUAAAGUUGUUGCAGUUAAAAAGCUCGUAGUUGGAUUUCGGGAUGGGCCAGUCGGUCUGCCGUGAGGUAAGUUACUGGCUGGUCUGUUCUUCCUCGCAAAGAAUGCGUGUGCUCUUCAUUGAGUGGGCGUAGGAUUUGCGACGUUUACUUUGAAAAAAUUAGAGUGUUCAAAGCAGGCUUACCGCUUGAAUACAUGAGCAUGGAAUAAUGGAAUAGGACUUUGGUCUUAUUUUGUUGGUUUCUAAGACCGAGGUAAUGAUUAAGAGGGACAGUUGGGGGCAUUCGUAUUUCGUUGUCAGAGGUGAAAUUCUUGGAUUUACGAAAGACGAACAACUGCGAAAGCAUUUGCCAAGAAUGUUUUCAUUAAUCAAGAACGAAAGUAG
rnacentral:rRNA from 1 species